UCCUCAACUCUCCCAGAGUGUCAGGUCGGGGUGGUGGGCUGGCCACUCUCUUCAAAGAUGAGUACAGAUGCAGAUUAUUACCUGCACUCAGUUAUAAUAGCUUCGAGCUUCAGCUGUUUGUGGCUGAUCUGGAUUCUCCUGUGUUGUGUGCAGUUAUUUAUCGCCCACCAAAACUCAACAAGGAUUUUAUGAGCGAGUUUUCAGAGUUUUUAGCUGAUGUUGUUCCUAAAUACGACGAGCUCCUGGUUUGUGGGGACUUCAAUAUCCAUGUGUGUUGUCCCUCAAACCCACUUGCUCAUGAUUUUAAAACUUUUUUGAACUCAUUUGGCCUUAAUCAAUGUGUGGAAGGGCCGACACAUCAUCUUGGCCACACCCUGGAUCUCAUCAUCUCAUAUGGGCUUUCAGUUUCACUCAGUGAAAUAACAGAAACUGGUAUUUCAGAUCACUUCCCCAUCAGGUUUGAGAACAGUGUUCCACCACCUGCUAGUAGGCCUAUAUCCUCAACUUCUAGGCACCGCUGCAUCACCUCCUCUUCAGCUGGAGAGUUUGCUUCUGCAUUUGUGGGCUCACAGUUUUAUGCAAAGAAUGGUCUGGUAUCUCCCUCUUCCCCAGAUAAGAUUCUCUCUGUGUUCCACUCCACAUGUACUGACAUUUUGGACUCUAUUGCCCCUGUUCGGACUAAAACUAUUAAACCUAAGGCGGACCCCUGGCUAAAUGACACCACAAGGGCCCUUAGGCAACACUGCAGAAAAGCUGAACGAAGAUGGAAGAAGGACAAUUUGCAUGUAUCUCUGGGUUUAUUAAGGGACAGUGUAUUUAAACUGACAC